rnacentral:lncRNA from 1 species
GCUCAUUCACCCACUUCUCCACCUGAACCCUCCUUCUAACUGCAUAUUUAGUUACUGCUUGUCUAAAUUCUUUCGCAUCUUUAAACACCAUGCCCAACUGCCACACAACUUUCUUUGCAGUAGGAUCAUGAAUGAUUUUUUGAGUUUUUGAACUCCUCUUUCUUGACAACUUUACCCUUCUUGAUCUAUCAGAUUCAUGUUCAUCAUCAUUACAACACU